rnacentral:lncRNA from 1 species
GCCACACCUGCGGCAUAUGGAGGUUCCCAGGCUAGGGGUCUCAUCAGAGUUCCAGUUGCUGGCCUACACCACAGCCACAGCCACGCCACAUCCGAGCCGCGUCUGCAACCUACACCACAGCUCACAGCAACGCCGGAUCCUUCACCCAUGGAGCGAGGCCAGGGAUCAAACCCGCAACCUCAUGGUUUCUAGUCCAAUUCAUUUCUGCUGCGACACGACGGGAAUUCUGCAUGACUUCAUCUUAACUAAUUGUGCUUGCAAAGACCCUUCUGCCAAAUAAAACCACAUUCUGAGGUUCCAGGGAGACAUGAAUUGGGGAGCCACUAUUCAACCCUGUGCAUGUGCUCUAUGAGCUGGUGUACACACCUAUGUGCCCAGAAGACACAAACCCAGUUGUUUGCAGCACCAUCAGCCACAUUUGCCAAAGUGGGAAACCACUCCCAUGUCCCUCGGCAGGAGGAGGGCUCGAUGACCGGCAGAGCACCUAUGUCCAGCGGAAGAGCAGCAAUGUUGCUAUGACGCAAUGACUCACAUUCACGUCCCAUUUUUUUUUUGAUAGGCAGGAAGUAGAUUAAGAUAGGAUGCUUCUGAGGGAUACAAGCGGGCAGGCAAGGAGACUCUGCCUGGAGGAUUAGGUGGGCUCACUUUUAUUUAUUUAUUUAUUUAUAUUUUGGUUUUUAGGGCCACACCUGCACCACAUGGAGGUUCCCAGGCUAGGGGUCUAAUCGGAGCUCCAGCUACCCGCCUNNNNNNNNNNNNNNNNNNNNNNNNNNNNNNNNNNNNCGCCCCGCCCCCAGCCGCCCCCCCCGUCACUCUGUGUCACUGCUCUUCUGGUCCCCAGGGCCUCUGUCCUUUCCCUUGACAGCUUUCACUCGUGUUGCACGGGUAUGGAACUUCCCUCUCAAAAUGUGUCCCUUGCCAGGUCUGUCCUAUGCUGUGAUGCCAUGUUUGGGGGUCCUUGUUUUAUUCCCCGAGGCGCCAUCUAGGAUUUAGAUGAGUGACAGAAGGAAUGACAGACGGAGGGAAUGCUACCGAGCCCGGGGGCAGCGAGCAAGGGCAAGGGCAAGCCCAGGGGGGGAAGGACGGGAGUGCUUGGGGGAGUGGUCUUUCCUUCCCGCGCCCACCAACUGCCCCGGCUCGGACUCCUCUCUUUGAGUGCUCCCAGACCCCUGCCCCCACCCUGCCAUCCUGCUGCCGGGGGGAACCUCAGUCCCACACCAACGCCUCCCUUCUUCAGCUCGACUGCCACUGUCCUCAUCCAAGCCACAUUUGUGACAACCGUGACUAUGAUGUCGUUAGCAGUUUCUCUGACAGACGGAGGUGAUCAGUGGUCCGUCAGCUACGUGGACCUGGCGGGGAGUCACGGUGUACCGGGUGGGGUGGCUCCCAGAAGAGCCCCCUUCUCGGGUGCUGUCCUGCGCUGAGUCGAGGGUUCUGCAUGCAGACGGAAUUCUGCUGAUGAGAUGCUAUUUGGGGGGAAAGGGAGGUGGUAGCAGUUGUCCCAGGGUCUGGUCAGAAGUGACCAAAGUUUUGCAACUACAAAUGGUGCUGCGAUGGAUCUCGUUGGAUUUAUUUGCAUCUUGUGCUCAGCUGAGGUGUUUUUUAGGGCCGCACCCGUGGCAUAUGGAGGUUCCCAGGCUAGGGGUCGAAUCGGAGCUGUAGCUGCCGGUCUACACCACAGCUCACGGCGACACCGGAUCCUUAACCCACUGAGCAAGGCCAGGGAUCGAACCCGAAACCUCAUGGUUCCUCGUCGGAUUCGUUAAUCACUGUGCCACGGCCACAGGGGAACUCCAGAACUUUCCCUCUUCUUAUAAGGACACCAGUCAUUGGAUUUAGCCCCCGCCCAGCAUGACCUCAUCUUGAUCACACCUGCAGAGAUCCUAUUUCCAAAUCAUGCAACAUUUACCAGUUCUGGAUAGACAAUGAUUUUAGGGGGACACGAUUCAACCCAGUACAGGCAGAAUGGUCAAAAAAACUUACAGUGAGGAAGUUCCCUGGUGGCGCAGUGGGUUAAGGAUCAGGUGUUGCCACAGCUGUGGCAGAGGUCACAACUGCAGCUCAGGUUUGAUCCCCGGCCCAGGAACUUCCAUAGGCCACAACCGAGGCCAAUAACAAAAACCACCAAAAACCCCUUUCAGUGAA